GUCGGGCGUGGUGGUGCACACCUGUAAUCCCAGCUACUUGGGAGGCUGAGGCAGAAGAAUCGCUUGAACCCAGGAGGUGGAGGUUGCAGUGAGCCGAAAUAGUGCCACUGCACUCCAACCUGGGCAACAGAGUGAGACUCCGUCUCAA
rnacentral:SRP_RNA from 1 species